AACGAACGCUGGCGGCAUGCCUAACACAUGCAAGUCGAACGAAGUCCUUCGGGGCUUAGUGGCGCACGGGUGCGUAACGCGUGGGAAUCUGCCCCUUGCUUCGGAAUAACAGUUAGAAAUGACUGCUAAUACCGGAUGAUGUCGCAAGACCAAAGAUUUAUCGGCAAGGGAUGAGCCCGCGUAGGAUUAGGUAGUUGGUGGGGUAAAGGCCUACCAAGCCGACGAUCCUUAGCUGGUCUGAGAGGAUGAUCAGCCACACUGGGACUGAGACACGGCCCAGACUCCUACGGGAGGCGGCAGUGGGGAAUAUUGGACAAUGGGGGAAACCCUGAUCCAGCAAUGCCGCGUGAGUGAUGAAGGCCUUAGGGUUGUAAAGCUCUUUUACCCGGGAUGAUAAUGACAGUACCGGGAGAAUAAGCUCCGGCUAACUCCGUGCCAGCCGCCGCGGUAAUAC
rnacentral:rRNA from 1 species